GUCCUACUCCCUCCGUUCCAAAAUUCUUGUCUUUGAUUUAUCUAAAUAUAAAUGUAUCUAGUCAUGUUUUAGUGUUAGAUACAUCCGUAUCUUGAGAAAUCUAAGACAAGAAUUUUAGGACGGAGGGAGUAUUUG
rnacentral:pre_miRNA from 1 species